rnacentral:tRNA from 1 species
GCGAGAAUGGCUCAAUGGUAGAGCGCAAAUCUGAUAAAUUUGAUGUUACUGGUUCGAAUCCAGUUUCUUACA